AGAGGAGGGGAGGGGCUAGGGGUCGGCGCAGGAGGCGAGACGAUGAUUACGAGCAAGCAGUGGAAAGGGAGGAGAGAGAGAAGGAGGGAUAGAGAGAGGGAGAGGGAUAGAGAAAGAGGGAGGAGAUUUAAAGAAGAGUGAAAGAGUGAAAAAUAGUGAGAGAGCGAGCGACAGAGAGAGAGCGAGUCCUCAGGGUAUCCUCUAGCUGUCCUCUAGGUAUCCUCUAGGUAUCCUCUAGGUGUCCUCUAGGUAUCCUCUAGCUGUCCUCUAGGUAUCCUCUAGGUAUCCUCUAGGUGUCCUCUAGGUAUCCUCUAGCUGUCCUCUAGGUGUCCUCUAGGUAUCCUCUAGGUGUCCUCUAGGUAUCCUCUAGGUAUCCUCUAGGUGUCCUCUACUCUAGGUGUUCUCUAGGUAUCCUUUAGCUGUCCUCUAGGUAUGCUCUAGGUAUCCUCUAGGUAUCCUCUAGGUAUCCUCUAGGUGUCCUCUACUCUAGGUGUUCUCUAGGUAUCCUUUAGCUGUCCUCUAGGUAUGCUCUAGCUGUCCUCUAGGUAUCCUCUAGGUAUCCUCUAGGUAUCCUCUAGGUGUCCUCUACUCUAGGUGUUCUCUAGGUAUCCUUUAGCUGUCCUCUAGGUAUGCUCUAGCUGUCCUCUAGGUAUCCUCUAGGUAUCCUCUAGGUAUCCUCUAGGUGUCCUCUACUCUAGGUGUUCUCUAGGUAUCCUUUAGGUGUUCUCUAGGUAUCCUUUAGCUGUCCUCUAGGUAUCCUCUAGCUGUCCUCUAGGUGUCCUCUAGCUGUGCUCUAGGUAUCCUCUAGCUGUUCUCUAGCUACCCUCUACUCUAGGUGUUCUCUAGGUAUCCUCUAGCUGUGCUCUAGGUAUCCUCUACUCUAGGUGUUCUCUAGGUAUCCUUUAGGUGUCCUCUAGGUAUCCUCUAGCUGUCCUCUAGGUAUCCUUUAGGUGUCCUCUAGGUAUCCUCUAGCUGUCCUCUAGGUAUCCUCUAGGUGUCCUCUAGCUGUCCUCUAGGUAUCCUCUAGCUGUCCUCUAGGUAUCCUCUAGCUGUCCUCUAGGUAUCCUCUAGCUGUCCUCUAGGUAUCCUCUAGCUGUUCUCUAGCUAUCCUCUACUCUAGCUGUCCUCUAGGUAUCCUCUAGCUGUGCUCUAGGUAUCCUCUAGCUGUCCUCUAGGUAUCCUCUAGCUGUGCUCUAGGUAUCCUCUAGCUGUGCUCUAGGUGUCCUCUAGCUAUCCUCUAGGUACUUUCCCCAGUCCAGCUCUCUUUCAUCAGUGCAGAUUAAGGAAAGGAGUUGAAUCAGAAGAAGAGACAAAACGGGUGUGUCUCAAAUGUAACCCUUUUCACUUCAUAGUGCCCUACUUUUGACCCCGAACUUUAACCUUGUUCAAAAGUUGUGCACUAUGAAUAAGGUCCCAUUUGGAACGCAGACAAUACUGUAUGUCUAGGCUAUUGACACGCACCUAGAGGGGGAUUGACAUAUAGAUAAUUGAAGAGGUUCAUCCACAGGAGGAUAAAACAGAGUGGUACAGGAGGAUAAAACAGAGCGGUACAGGAGGAUAAAACAGAGCGGUACAGGAGGAUAAAACAGAGCGGUACAGGAGGAUAAAACAGAGCGGUACAGGGGGAUAAAACAGAGCGGUACAGGAGGAUAAAACAGAGCGGUACAGGAGGAUAAAACAGAGCGGUACAGGAGGAUAAAACAGAGCGGUACAGGAGGAUAAAACAGAGCGGUAGAGGAGGAUAAAACAGAGCAGUACAGGAGGAUAAAACAGAGCGGUACAGGAGGAUAAAACAGAGCAGUACAGGAGGAUAAAACAAGGGUACAGGAGGAUAAAACAGAGCUGUACAGGAGGAAAGAGAAGAACGGGGGAUUUUACACAGAAAGAAAGAGGAUGAAGAGAGGACAGGAAUUCAGUUUCGAAGGUUUCUCAUAACACAACUGAAAAGGGAAGAAGUUAUUUACUCCACUUCAAAUAUGAACCAGUUUCCUUCCAAUGCAUGAUCACAUGGUGUGUGGCCCAAUUGUCACACUAUUCACUAUAUAGUGCACUCAUUUUGAACAGGGCCCAUUUGGGCUCUGGUCAAAAGUAGUGUACUAUAUAGGGAAUGGGGUGCCAUUUCGGACUCACCCGUACUGUAUAGACACCUGAAACAUAUGUGCAGUUAAGUACGUCACAGGCACUUUUGACAGGGCACAUACAGGGCUCUGAUCAAAAGUAGUGCACUAUAGAGGGAAUAAGGUGCCAUCUGGGACACAGCCUUUGUAUUUCAACAGUAUCACUGUAUUGUAUUGUUAGUCAGCUGUGUUGUCAUGGUUCCUAGCUCAGGUGUUUUGAGUGGCCUACAUUUUGUUGUUUUUUGUAAGGAAUUUAUUCAAUCAAUGAUUUUGAAAAAAUGUAAUUAUAGUCAUGAAUUAUAAUGAGAAUAUAUUGAUUGUAAUUGUUUUUUUUAUGACUGAAGUGAGUUUUGAAGUUGUUUUCUGAGUAUAAAGCUGGUUUUGAGCCUCUUGAUGUGGGUGUUCUGUUAUCAAAGACCAACUAAUAUCACCAUGGAAACUUAGUUCAUAAAAGUGAACACCUUAUAUGCUUAGUUAAAUAAAAAAAAGUCACUCCUACACUGUAAGAAAGCCGUAAACAUAUAUAAAAUUCACAAAAAAACAUUCACUUAUUUUAUAAGACUUGAUCUUUAUUUGGAUCCCCAUGAGCUGACGCCAUGACAACAGCUAAAUGUGUAUACAAGCAUACAGUCAACACACACACACACACAUACAUUUAAAGGUACACUGUGAGUGUAAAAUUUAUUUUUAACUCAAAUUUUGGUUUGAGAGGUGACUGUUUCAUAGACACAUAUGGUAUUAUAUGAAUCAAUUUUUUUCUUGUUAAACCACGCAGCCGUUAGUAGGCUAGUAAUAAAAGCUUUAAGUCA
rnacentral:lncRNA from 1 species